ensembl:rRNA 5S_rRNA 5S ribosomal RNA
UUCUACAGCCAGGCCACCCUGAACAAGCCCAAUCCCGUCUGACCUCGGAAGCUAAGCAAGGUCGCGCCCAGUUAGUACUUGGAUGGAUGGGAGACCACCUAGGAAGACCAGGUGAUGUAGGUA